rnacentral:misc_RNA from 1 species
AUUUCUAUGCUGCACACUACCAGGAAGAAAUCUAGCUGUUUUCACAUUUAAUUAGUUCUGCAAUGGCUGAAAGUAGUACAUCAGUGAUGUUUGAAACUGAUAUUACUGCGCUAGAAGAAGCACUUUAUGCACAACAGCAGCUUCUGCAAAAGCUUAAUGCUGAGUUGGAUGUGGAAAGAGAAGCUGCAGCCUCUGCAGCUAGUGAAGCUUUAUCGAUGAUUUUGCGUUUACAAGGCGAAAAGGCUUCACUGAAGAUGGAA